rnacentral:rRNA from 1 species
GAUGAACGCUGGCGGCGUGCCUAAUACAUGCAAGUCGAGCGAACAGACGAGGAGCUUGCUCCUCUGACGUUAGCGGCGGACGGGUGAGUAACACGUGGAUAACCUACCUAUAAGACUGGGAUAACUUCGGGAAGCCGGAGCUAAUACCGGAUAACAUGUUGAACCGCAUGGUUCAACAGUGAAAGACGGUCUUGCUGUCACUUAUAGAUGGAUCCGCGCCGCAUUAGCUAGUUGGUAAGGUAACGGCUUACCAAGGCAACGAUGCGUAGCCGACCUGAGAGGGUGAUCGGCCACACUGGAACUGAGACACGGUCAAGACUCCUACGGGAGGCAGCAGUAGGGAAUCUUCCGCAAUGGGCGAAAGCCUGACGGAGCAACGCCGCGUGAGUGAAGAAGGUCUUCGGAUCGUAAAACUCUGUUAUUAGGGAAGAACAAAUGUGUAAGUAACUAUGCACGUCUUGACGGUACCUAAUCAGAAAGCCACGGCUAACUACGUG